rnacentral:lncRNA from 1 species
GGUUGUUGUUGGUUGCUGUUUAUCAGCAACUUUUUAAUAUAAUUCAGUUUGUUAGUUUCCUCAUUUGAAUUGAUUUAAUAUUGGUCUUUUUGGGCCCUUUAAUUGUUUGCUAACAGUUAUGUUUUUUUCUUAUUUUUGAAGGCAGUAUGGUGACAUAAUAAGUUGCUCACCUGUUAUUUCUCAGGUUGAGUUAUCUCAUUAGCAAUCAAACCACAUCUUUUUAUUUUCAUAUACAUGUAGUAAUUAAAUUAGGAUGUCCUUUGAUUUUGGUGACAUUAGGUUGCUG